rfam:Clostridiales bacterium 41_12_two_minus Ley3_66761_scaffold_205, whole genome shotgun sequence.
GCCUUAUCGAGAGUAACUGAGGGACAGGCCCUAUGAAGUUGCAGCAACCUGCUUAAGUAAGGUGCUAAAACCUGCGGUACAACCGAGUGAUGAGAA